AACGAACGCUGGCGGCAGGCCUAACACAUGCAAGUCGAACGCCCUAGCAAUAGGGAGUGGCAGACGGGUGAGUAACGCGUGGGAAUAUCCCCCUCAGUACGGAAUAGCCCAGGGAAACUUGGAGUAAUACCGUAUACGUCCGUGAGGAGAAAGAUUUAUCGCUGAGGGAUUAGCCCGCGUCGGAUUAGCUAGUUGGUGAGGUAACGGCUCACCAAGGCGACGAUCCGUAGCUGGUUUGAGAGAAUGACCAGCCACACUGGGACUGAGACACGGCCCAGACUCCUACGGGAGGCAGCAGUGGGGAAUCUUGGACAAUGGGCGCAAGCCUGAUCCAGCCAUGCCGCGUGAGUGACGAAGGCCUUAGGGUUGUAAAGCUCUUUUGCCGGGGACGAUAAUGACGGUACCCGGAGAAUAAGUCCCGGCUAACUUCGUGCCAGCAGCCGCGGUAA
rnacentral:rRNA from 1 species